rnacentral:tRNA from 2 species
GGCUUGGUAGUUCAUUGGUAGAACGCAAUACUUUUAAUAUUGUGAAGCGGUUCAAAUCCGUUCCAAGCCA